UACGAAGGGUGCAAACGUUGCUCGGAAUUAUUGGGCGUAAAGCGCACGUAGGCGGAUCGAUCAGUCAGGGGGUGAAAUCCCAGAGCUCAACUCUGGAACUGCCUUUGAUACUGUCGAUCUGGAGUAUGGAAGAGGUGAGUGGAAUUCCGAGUGUAGAGGUGAAAUUCGUAGAUAUUCGGAGGAACACCAGUGGCGAAGGCGGCUCACUGGUCCAUUACUGACGCUGAGGUGCGAAAGCGUGGGGAGCAAACAGG
rnacentral:rRNA from 1 species